GACGUAGGAUGCGAGCGUUGUCCGGAAUUAUUGGGCGUAAAGCGAACGUAGGCGGUUCCUUAAGUUUGGGGUUAAAGACCGAGGCUCAACCUCGGGAGUGCCCUGAAUACUGGGGGACUGGAGGACGGCAGAGGAAAGUGGAAUUCCCAGUGUAGCGGUGAAAUUCGUAGAUAUUAGGAAGAACACCGGUGGCGAAGGCGGCCACUGGUCCGGUACUGACGCUGAGGUGCGAAAGCGUGGGGAGCAAACAGG
rnacentral:rRNA from 1 species